rnacentral:rRNA from 1 species
AUGUCUCUUUGAGAAAAUUGUAUAAAGAGUCUGACCUGCCCGGUGACGUAGUUUAACGGCUGCAGUAUCCUGACUGUGCAAAGGUAGCAUAAUAAUUUGUCUUUUAAUUGGAGGAUGGAAUCAACGGCCUGACGAGAGCAAAGCUGUCUUUUUUAUUUUUGAUAGAAUUUAUCUUUUAAGUUAAAAGACUUAAAUAUAACUAAAAGACGAUAAGACCCUAUUGAGCUUUAAAAAAAUAAAGUGGUUAUUCACUAUGAGCAAGAUUGAUGACAAUUUUAAAAAUUUUAGUUGGGGCGACUGCGGAAUAUAAAAAACCUCCGGAUUAAUAAGCUAAUUUCUAUUUUUGAUCCAUAGUUUAUGAUAACUGGAAUUAGUUACCAUAGGGAUAACAGCGCACUGCUUUUAGGAAGACCAUAUUUUUAAAGGAGAUCGCGACCUCGAUGUUGGAUUAAGGUAUACUAAAAGGCGCAGAAGCUUUUUUAGUUAGUCUGUUCGACUAUUAAAUCCUU